rfam:Trichobilharzia regenti genome assembly, scaffold: TRE_scaffold0007284
AUCCACCUGACGAGUCCCAAAUAGGACGAAGUGUGUAUCCGGGAU